GAAGGGGGCUAGCGUUGCUCGGAAUCACUGGGCGUAAAGGGCGCGUAGGCGGCGUUUUAAGUCGGGGGUGAAAGCCUGUGGCUCAACCACAGAAUGGCCUUCGAUACUGGGACGCUUGAGUCUGGUAGAGGUUGGUGGAACUGCGAGUGUAGAGGUGAAAUUCGUAGAUAUUCGCAAGAACACCGGUGGCGAAGGCGGCCAACUGGACCGGCACUGACGCUGAGGCGCGAAAGCGUGGGGAGCAAACAGGAUUAGAUACCCUGGUAGUCCACGCUGUAAACGAUGAAUGCUAGCUGUUGGGAUGCAUGCAUCUCAGUAGCGCAGCUAACGCAUUAAGCAUUCCGCCUGGGGAGUACGGUCGCAAGAUUA
rnacentral:rRNA from 1 species